rnacentral:rRNA from 1 species
AUUGAACGCUGGCGGCAUGCUUUACACAUGCAAGUCGAACGGCAGCGCGGGCUUCGGCCUGGCGGCGAGUGGCGAACGGGUGAGUAAUGCAUCGGAGCGUGCCCAGUAGUGGGGGAUAGCCCGGCGAAAGCCGGAUUAAUACCGCAUACGACCUGCGGGUGAAAGCGGGGGACCGAAAGGCCUCGCGCUAUUGGAGCGGCCGAUGUCGGAUUAGCUAGUUGGUGGGGUAAAGGCUUACCAAGGCGACGAUCCGUAGCUGGUCUGAGAGGACGACCAGCCACACUGGGACUGAGACACGGCCCAGACUCCUACGGGAGGCAGCAGUGGGGAAUUUUGGACAAUGGGGGCAACCCUGAUCCAGCCAUGCCGCGUGCGGGAAGAAGGCCUUCGGGUUGUAAACCGCUUUUGUUCGGGAAGAAAUCCUCUGGGCUAAUACCCCGGGGGGAUGACGGUACCGGAAGAAUAAGCACCGGCUAACUACGUG